GCUCCCUUCAGCAGCACAUAUAUAUAAUUGGAAUGAUACAGAGAAGAUUACCACAGCCCCAUGGGCAAGGCUGACAUGCAAAUUCAUGAAGCAGUCCAUUUUUUU
ensembl:snRNA U6 U6 spliceosomal RNA